rnacentral:rRNA from 1 species
UACAGAGGGUGCGAGCGUUGUCCGGAAUCACUGGGCUUAAAGGGCGCGUAGGCGGAUUCUCAAGUCCGGGGUGAAAUCCCACAGCUCAACUGUGGAACUGCCUCGGAUACUGGGAGUCUCGGAGGGUGGUAGGGGUAUGCGGAACUAUCGGUGGAGCGGUGAAAUGCGUUGAUAUCGAUAGGAACUCCGGUGGCGAAGGCGGCUCUG